rnacentral:rRNA from 1 species
UACGAAGGGGGCUAGCGUUGCUCGGAAUGACUGGGCGUAAAGGGCGCGUAGGCGGCUUGCACCGUCAGAUGUGAAAUUCCUGGGCUUAACCUGGGGGCUGCAUUUGAUACGUGUGGGCUUGAGUGCGGAAGAGGGUCGUGGAAUUCCCAGUGUAGAGGUGAAAUUCGUAGAUAUUGGGAAGAACACCGGUGGCGAAGGCGGCUCACUGGCCCGGUACUGACGCUGAGGUGCGAAAGCGUGGGGAGCAAACAGG